rnacentral:rRNA from 1 species
AGUGAACGCUGGCGGUAGGCCUAACACAUGCAAGUCGAACGGCAGCACAGUAAGAGCUUGCUCUUACGGGUGGCGAGUGGCGGACGGGUGAGGAAUACAUCGCAAUCUACUUUUUCGUGGGUGAUAACGUAGGGAAACUUACGCUAAUACCGCAUACGACCUACGGGUGAAAGCAGGGGAUCUUCGGACCUUGCGCGAUUCAAUGAGCCGAUGUCGGAUUAGCUAGUUGGCGGGGUAAAGGCCCACCAAGGCGACGAUCCGUAGCUGGUCUGAGAGGAUGAUCAGCCACACUGGAACUGAGACACGGUCCAGACUCCUACGGGAGGCAGCAGUGGGGAAUAUUGGACAAUGGGCGCAAGCCUGAUCCAGCCAUACCGCGUGGGUGAAGAAGGCCUUCGGGUUGUAAAGCCCUUUUGUUGGGAAAGAAAAGCAGCAGGUUAAUACCCCGCUGUUCUGACGGUACCCAAAGAAUAAGCACCGGCUAACUUCGUG